rnacentral:rRNA from 1 species
CGGAAGUUUUCAGAUGGAAGCAAUAAACCUUAGCGGCGGACGGGUGAGUAACGCGUGGGUAACCUGCCUCAUACAGGGGGAUAACAGUUAGAAAUGACUGCUAAAACCGCAUAAGCGCACAUUGUCGAGUGACAGAGUGUGAAAAACUCCGGUGGUAUGAGAUGGACCCGCGUCUGAUUAGCUAGUUGGUGAGGUAACGGCCCUCCAAGGCGACGAUCAGUAGCCGGCCUGAGAGGGCGACCGGCCACAUUGGGACUGAGACACGGCCCAUACUCCUACGGGAGGCAGCAGUGGGGAAUAUUGCACAAUGGGGGAAACCCUGAUGCAGCGACGCCGCGUGAGUGAAGAAGUAUUUCGGUAUGUAAAGCCCUAUCAGCAGGGAAGAAGAAAGACGGUACCUGACUAAGAAGCCCUGGCUAACUACGUGCCAGCAGCCGCGGUAAUACGUAGGGGGCAAGCGUUAUCCGGAUUUACUGGGUGUAAAGGGAGCGUAGACGGCUGUGCAAGUCUGAAGUGAAAGCCCAGGGCUCAACCCUGGGACUGCUUUGGAAACUGUGGAGCUAGAGUGCUGGAGAGGUAAGUGGAAUUCCUAGUGUAGCGGUGAAAUGCGUAGAUAUUAGGAGGAACACCAGUGGCGAAGGCGGCUUACUGGACAGUAACUGACGUUGAGGCUCGAAAGCGUGGGGAGCAAACAGGAUUAGAUACCCUGGUAGUCCACGCGGUAAACGAUGAAUACUAGGUGUUGGAGAGCAAAGCUUUUCGGUGCCGUCGCAAACGCAAUAAGUAUUCCACCUGGGGAGUACGUUCGCAAGAAUGAAACUCAAAGGAAUUGACGGGGACCCGCACAAGCGGUGGAGCAUGUGGUUUAAU